ACUUAGAACUCUGAAAAGUUCUUAAUGCAUCCCUUCAAAAAUUUAAUGUAUUAUAAAACAUGGGGGAGCGGGGGCAGAGAGACAACGUUUGCUACAGCAGGUAUCAUUGCCUGGCAGCAUUUAACGAUAUCAAAAAUGCUGUUGUUGAUUACAAUUUAACUUCUUUCACGAGGUGACUCCAAUCUUAAAAUUAACAGCCCAGGAUGUCAGAGGAGAAAGAACUGCAUUUCUUCCCACCAAUACAUAUGUAUGGAGAGGACCCACAUGGGGUCGAGUGAAGAAAAAAAAUUUUUCAUAUGUCAUCAUCUGGCAAUAAAUGUCUAAGGCCAAAGGCCCUGUUAACCUUUACAAAGAUCAAGGUGUUGCUGAUAGUAAAACAAAACCCUUUAGUUGCCUUUGAGAAGGUAACAUUAGGACAUCCGUGUGCGAGAUGUUGGCUACUUAUUCCUCCAGCAGACGGCGUGCGGGCCCUGUAAAAGAAUCUCAUCAUUAUCUUUCCCUCAGCUGGUUGGGCUGUUGGUUUAUUUGCUGACGUAUAGUUGCCUUAAAAUAUUAUAUUAGUUUCAGGUGUACAACAUAGUGAUUUGAUAUUUUAAUAAAAUAAAGAGAGGAUGAAAGUUCGUUGUUAAAAACUAGGAAUUACGCCAACGUCAAUAUCAUUUAGCACUGCUUUUUUCUGACCUUUUGCAGUAUAGAUAAGGAAUACUUGGCUAAAUAUAAUUAGCAUCUUUAGAAAUGUAACAAGGUUUAAUCGUAAAAAUAUUGCUAGUGUCAAUGUAUUGGGCCUUGGGUUUUUCAGUGCAAUAUUGCCCGUUACACAUGGCCCAGAUGUCCAUCACUGGUGUCUCACCCACUGACCGUUCUCCCUGGAAAGCAUUUAAAAUGCCCCACUAAGGUCUCAACUCUUGAUAAGACAUUCUCUGUGUGUAAUGCACCGCCAUAAACUGACUUCUUAACUCUUUUCCUGUGUUGGUUUUUCUUUUUGGUUUUUGGGGGGGUUUUUUUUGUUUUGUUUUUUUUACCCACACCAUAUCCCCUCCUGUUUUCUAUAGCUAAAUUCUGAUUACUCUGAUUUCAAUUCUUCAUUCUUUUUUAUCUGCAGUCACCAGCUCUCACCACGGUAAAUUCUAUUUUGAUCUUUGCCUUUCCCUCUUACAAAACUGUGCGUGCACGUUCACAGUCCGCAGGGCCACUAGCAGAGACACGAGUAGCAGAAUUGUAAAUGAAAAUGGAGAGAAUUGGCAUAGAGGUGGACGUCCUAACUUCCUCAUCACGCCUCCACCACCAACUCUAUGUUACCACGGAAGUAAAGAUGGACAAAUGAUGCCCAAAACGGAAACCAACAAGUAAAUCCAGAGAAAAUAUAACGUGGUGUUUAUUCUCUUCCUUUUGGAUUGCUUUUCUGGGACUGUCUACUGGAAGACCUUUAUUUCUCGAAACCAGUAGCCCUCGUUGAUAAGGGAAAGCUGACUUAAAGAAGAAUACCAGCUAGUAGAGGUAGAUGGUGACAAACAGAAAUGUAAAAUCAUCAUUUUGCAGUCCCCAGUGAAAUCACUGACUCAGACAAGGAUUAUCAGUUGGUAUUAAAAUUAUUAGAUGAGGGAUGGAUGGGGAAGUGAAUUUUGUACGUGCUUUGCCCAAAUAACAUCAAAAAAGAUCACACUCAUGACAAGGACGAGAUCUUAACUGUACGACGGAGGAGGAGGGAGGCCAGAAUUGUACAAUAUGAAGAAUAACGCCAUCUUCACACUAAUUCAGCGACCAAACUUGGCAGCUCUAAUGGUGGAACAACCAGGUACUGUGCGUCCCCAAGUGGACUGCCUAUGUGUCUACACAUCACCAGGGAUGUAUUCUCAACUAAAGCAUUUAAGUUGAAUCUGUCAAGCCUUCACGUGUAACUUUCAGUUUACAAGAAAGUACGUAGAAGAAUAAAAGCUGCCACAGAGAAAUAAUCAGACAAACCCAGACGAUGAAACAUUUUACAGGACAGAUCAGUGUCAUGAAAGAAAAGACACUUCUAGAUUAAAG